rnacentral:rRNA from 1 species
CACGUAGGGUGCGAGCGUUGUCCGGAAUUAUUGGGCGUAAAGAGCUCGUAGGCGGUGUGUCGCGUCGGCCGUGAAAACCUGCAGCUUAACUGUGGGCGUGCGGUCGAUACGGGCAUCACUGGAGUUCGGCAGGGGAGACUGGAAUUCCUGGUGUAGCGGUGAAAUGCGCAGAUAUCAGGAGGAACACCAAUGGCGAAGGCAGCUUCUUGGCUCAUUCCUGACAUUGAGGCACGAAAGCGUGGGGAGCAAACAGG